rnacentral:lncRNA from 1 species
GUCUGCCUCUGCCAUGGGAUGAUGCAGCAACAAGGCUCCCACCAGAUACUUCACUUUCCAGCCUCUGGAACUAUGAGAAAUAAAUUUUUACUGUUUCAGCAGCAGCAGCAGCAGCAGGAGAAGAAAAAGAAGAGGAAGCAGCAGCAGCAGCAGCUCUAUUUUGGUCCUGGACUUAGGAGAGAGAAUGUCAAAAGGUAGAGAUUUUCCCCCACUGGUCAAUUUUCAACCCAUAAAUGGCCCCAGAGCAUCAUCUCAAACCUUGGGAGAAAAAGAAAU